GCAGCGCGGCCCCCUACUGCCACCUGGCGGCACCGGCACCGCCACCCCCGGGACUGCCACCCCCCGGGACCGCCACCCCCCGGACUGCCCCCGCCGCUCCCGGGCUGCCUUCCUUCCCUGCCCGCUGUGAGACACCCCCGUCUCUGCCGGUGUGGGGCUGCACACGCAGCCGGGGAACCCCGCGGGGCCACCGCCGCCAGCCCCGGCUGCCUCCAGGGAGGUUCUCAUUUCUAGGGUUUGCUUGGCCUGCAUUUUUAUUGCCCCAUUCGAAAAACUGAAAAGCAGCAGGUAUGAAAACAGGAUCUCGGGGGUUUCUGCACUGCUUGUUUCUUAUUUGGGUUUGUGGUUUGGGGUUUUUUUUUUUAAUUUUUUGUUUAAUUUUUUCCUUUCCAGUUAGAGUGCUGGGGGAGGGAUGCCCUUGCAGAUCGGCUCAGCUCUGGUGUGACCCUGGGAAAGGGUCUGUCAGCGCCGCUCCCCAAAGGCACAAGCCCAUGUCCCACGCGUGGCAGCUUUGGCACUCAAAGGAUGCUUUUCUUAGGCCUUGUUUUCACAAAUAG
rnacentral:lncRNA from 1 species